rnacentral:rRNA from 1 species
CCUACGGGUGGCAGCAGUGGGGAAUAUUGCGCAAUGGGGGCAACCCUGACGCAGCAACGCCGCGUGAUUGAAGAAGGCCUUCGGGUUGUAAAGAUCUUUAAUCGGGGACGAAUUUUGACGGUACCCGAAGAAUAAGCUCCGGCUAACUACGUGCCAGCAGCCGCGGUAAUACGUAGGGAGCAAGCGUUAUCCGGAUUUACUGGGUGUAAAGGGCGUGUAGGCGGGCAUGCAAGCCAGAAGUGAAAUCUGGGGGCUUAACCCCCAAACUGCUUUUGGAACUGCGUGUCUUGAGUGAUGGAGAGGCAGGCGGAAUUCCCAGUGUAGCGGUGAAAUGCUUAGAUAUUGCGCAGAACUCCGAUUGCGAAGGCAGCAUACCGGCGGCGAUCUGACGCUGAGGCACGAAAGCGUGGGUAUCGAACAGGAUUAGAUACCCCAGUAGUC